rnacentral:rRNA from 1 species
UACGGGGGGAGCAAGCGUUGUUCGGAUUUACUGGGCGUAAAGGGCGCGUAGGCGGCCACCGCAAGUCGACUGUGAAAUCUCUGGGCUUAACCCAGAACGGUCAGCCGAUACUGCGGGGCUAGAGUGCAGAAGGGGCAACUGGAAUUCUCGGUGUAGCGGUGAAAUGCGUAGAUAUCGAGAGGAACACCUGCGGCGAAGGCGGGUUGCUGGGCUGACACUGACGCUGAGGCGCGAAGGCGUGGGGAGCAAACGGG